rnacentral:rRNA from 1 species
AACGAACGCUGGCGGCAUGCCUAACACAUGCAAGUCGAACGAGACCUUCGGGUCUAGUGGCGCACGGGUGCGUAACGCGUGGGAACCUGCCCUUAGGUUCGGAAUAACUCCCCGAAAGGGGUGCUAAUACCGGCUAAUGUCUUCGGACCAAAGAUUUAUCGCCUUUGGAUGGGCCCGCGUUGGAUUAGCUAGUUGGUAGGGUAAAAGCCUACCACGGCGACGAUCCAUAGCUGGUCUGAGAGGAUGAUCAGCCACACUGGGACUGAGACACGGCCCAGACUCCUACGGGAGGCAGCAGUGGGGAAUAUUGGACAAUGGGCGAAAGCCUGAUCCAGCAAGGCCGCGUGAGUGAUGAAGGCCUUAGGGUUGUAAAGCUCUUUUACCCGGGAUGAUAAUGACAGUACCGGGAGAAUAAGCUCCGGCUAACUCCGUG